rnacentral:snRNA from 1 species
AUCGCUUCUUGGCCUUUUGGCUAAGAUCAAGUGUAGUGUCUGUUCUUAUCAGUUUAAUCAUAAUCCUGAACAUUUGUAUAGUAUUUAUUAUUAUUAUUAUUUUGACAUGGAGUCUCACUCUGUUGCCCAGGCUGGAGUGUAAUGGAACGGCCUCAGCUCACUGCAA